GGUCCCAUAGCUCAGUUGGUUAGAGCGUCGUACUAAUACUGAUCAUGGUUCAUCGAUAUAGUAUCUGGUCCAUGCGAAGGCCGGCGGUUCGAGCCCGCCUGGGACCA